rnacentral:rRNA from 1 species
AGAGUUUGAUCCUGGCUCAGGAUGAACGCUAGCGGCAGGCUUAAUACAUGCAAGUCGAGCGGCCCGCAAGGGCAGCGGCGGACGGGUGAGUAACGCGUACACAACCUACCCUACAUUGGGGAAUAUACACGGGAAACUGUGGGCAAUACCGCAUAUAUUAUCUGGGGGCAUCCUUGGAUAAAGAAAGGAUUACGAUGUUGGAUGGGUGUGCGUGUCAUUAGGUAGUUGGUAAGGUAACGGCUUACCAAGCCUACGAUGACUAGGGGGCGGGAGAGCGUGGCCCCCCACACGGGUACUGAGACACGGACCCGACUCCUACGGGAGGCAGCAGUAAGGAAUAUUGGACAAUGGUCGGAAGACUGAUCCAGCCAUGCCGCGUGGAGGAAGAAGGCGUUAUGCGUUGUAAACUUCUUUAGCAGGGGAAUAAAAGUUUUGAUGCGUCAAGAUUUGAAGGUACCCUGAGAAUAAGGACCGGCUAACUCCGUGCCAGCCGCCGCGGUAAUAC